UACGUAGGGACCUAGCGUUGUCCGGAAUUAUUGGGCGUAAAGGGUGCGUAGGCGGCGCGGUAAGUCGGGUGUGAAAUCUCGGGGCUUAACUCCGAAACUGCAUUCGAUACUGCCGUGCUUGAGGACUGGAGAGGAGACUGGAAUUUACGGUGUAGCGGUGAAAUGCGUAGAUAUCGUAAGGAAGACCAGUGGCGAAGGCGGGUCUCUGGACAGUUCCUGACGCUGAGGCACGAAGGUCAGGGGAGCAAACGGG
rnacentral:rRNA from 1 species